UUCCCUGCAUUAAAGUCUCAGGCCACUAGGAGCGCCGCCUCUGGGUGAGUGGUUUCCUGUUUGCUUAUUUCCUUAAUACAGCUCACUGAGUGUGGUCUUAUUGCCAGCAUCUGUCUGUGGUGGUAAAUAAACAGCCACGAAAAGUAUAGCUGAGAAUUCUCUAGGCAAGUAGUUUGGCCUGCAAUUUAUCACAAUAUAAUCCGCUUCAGGCGAGAGACUUCCUUAGAUUUCGUGCACCAGCUGUUUACAAAUAUGCACAGACCGCCCCCACUUGUCUUAUCGGAGUGUGCUGUUCGAUCUUGCCAGUCCAGCGUGUAUCCCGCUAGCUGAAUAUCCAUGUCGUCAUUCAGCCACGAUUACGUGAAACAUAGGAUAUUACCGUUUUUGAUGUCCCGUUAGUAGGAUAUUCGUGAUCGUACCUCGUCUAAUUUAUUGUCCAAUGAUUGCGCGUUGGCGUGUAGUAUUGACGGUAAAGGCAGCUUUCCCAGUCGCCUUCGCCAGGUCCUGACUAGGCAUCCGGCUCUUUGUCCUCUGUACCUGUGUCGCUUCCUCAUGCAAAUAAUGGGGAUGCCGGUCCUGUGGGGUGUUUGGAGAAUGUCUUGUGCGUCGUCUUUGUUAUAGAAAAAAUCAUCGUCUAAUCCGAGUACAUGUUCAGUGGUGGAAGAGACCCUCUGGAGUUGCUGCAGUGUGUCUGGGGCUGCUGUGUGUUCUCCUACUGGCUGGGAUCAUAGGCCUGUCUGUCUACUAUGGAGUCAUUGAUCAUCACGACUCAACAGAGAGAGACCAGCAACAGGACAGCAACAGCCUUCUGACUAAGGAGAGAGACCAGCUACAGACCAGUUACAACAACCUGACUAAAGAGAGAGGCAAAGCUUUUUGUGAUAGGUGAGAUAUAAACUGUGAUAAAUUAGAAGUAAAAUCAACAGUAAUUAUAUAUCAAUGGGUUUAUGAAGAUACUGGCUAUGUGUCACGUCCUGACCAGUUUAAGGGGUUAUUUGUUAUUGUAGUUUGGUCAGGGCGUGGCAGGGUGUGUUUGGUUUGUGUUGUUGGGAUUUUGGGGUUAGUUGUAUGGUCUUUAUAUUUUUACGUUCCCUUCUAGGAGUUGUAUUUCUUUGUUUUGGCCUGGUAUGGCUCUCAAUCAGGGACAGCUGUACAUCGUUGUCACUGAUUGGGAGUCAUACUUAG